UACGAAGGGGGCUAGCGUUGUUCGGAAUUACUGGGCGUAAAGGGCGCGUAGGCGGCCUGCUAAGUCGAACGUGAAAUCCCCGGGCUCAACCCGGGAACUGCGUCCGAUACUGGCAGGCUUGAAUCCGGGAGAGGGAUGUGGAAUUCCAGGUGUAGCGGUGAAAUGCGUAGAUAUCUGGAGGAACACCGGUGGCGAAGGCGGCAUCCUGGACCGGUAUUGACGCUGAUGCGCGAAAGCCAGGGGAGCAAACGGG
rnacentral:rRNA from 1 species